CCAUGCUUCUCUCCGCACGCACAGAAUGGAUACCAUUCCUAGUGUGUAGAAGUGAUCUUGCAGGACGCUGACGAGGAUGAACCUUUCAGCUACCUGUUGCUACGCUCAACAUCUGAGGCCUUCCUCCAACUGCUACCUUGAAGAGCGGCUUGAAUAGUGGCAACAAGGAAGAGAGCCUUCUCGGUGGCAGCCACCAGAUUUUGGAACAAUCUUUCAGCUGAAGCCUGCCUGUCAUCAGCUUUACUGACCUUUCAGUACCAGGGGACCAAAACUCAUGAGGACCCUCUUACACUUGAAGACCUGGUCACCCAGCUCACUCGUCACAGCAUCAGUUCCUGGGUUGUUUAAUCCAGGAAACACAGGAAGAGGCAGACUGCACAUUUCUGCUUUUAAUGAGCCGCUUCGAGGCUUCGGCA